CUACGGGUUGCUGCAGUGGGGAAUAUUGCACAAUGGAGGAAACUCUGAUGCAGCAACGCCGCGUGGAGGAUGACACUUUUCGGAGCGUAAACUCCUUUUAUAUAGGAAGAAGAUGACGGUACUAUAUGAAUAAGCGCCGGCUAACUCCGUGCCAGCAGCCGCGGUAAUACGGAGGGCGCAAGCGUUACUCGGAAUCACUGGGCGUAAGGAGCGUGUAGGCGGAUUAAAAAGUCAGAAGUGAAAUCCUAUAGCUUAACUAUAGAACUGCUUCUGAAACUCUUAAUCUAGAAUAUGGGAGAGGUAGAUGGAAUUUCUGGUGUAGGGGUAAAAUCCGUAGAGAUCAGAAGGAAUACCGAUUGAGAAGGCGAUCUACUAGAACAUUAUUGACGCUGAGACGCGAAAGCGUGGGGAGCAAACAGGAUUAGAUACCCUCGUAGUC
rnacentral:rRNA from 1 species